rnacentral:lncRNA from 1 species
AUGGACAUCCCCGACAGUGUUACCAUCAAGGUUCACGCUAAAGUGAUCGAAGUCGAAGGACCUCGCGGGAAGCUUGUUCGCGAUUUCAAGCAUCUCAACCUCGAUUUCCAGCUGAUCAAGGAUCCAGAGACUGGAAAGAAGAAGCUUAAGAUCGAUUCGUGGUUUGGAACACGCAAAACCAGCGCCUCCAUCAGAACCGCUCUUAGCCACGUCGAUAACUUGAUCUCCGGUGUUACCAGAGGUUUCCGUUACAAGAUGAGGUUCGUGUACGCCCAUUUUCCCAUCAACGCCUCCAUCGGCGGUGACGGAAAGUCUAUCGAGAUCCGUAACUUCCUUGGCGAGAAGAAGGUUUGUUUUAUCUUCUUCAUCUCUGAUUUGAUUCUCAUAGAUUCGUGUAGAUCUCGGAAUGAAAUAGACUGACACUAGAUUCAACUUUAUGAUUGGACGAUGAUGAUUGAUUUCUGAGUUUGCGAGCACUGAACUUACAUAGAAAUGUGUUUAUUGGAAUAAUAGGUGAGGAAGGUAGAGAUGUUGGAUGGUGUAACCAUUGUUCGAUCUGAGAAGGUGAAGGAUGAGAUUGUUCUUGACGGUAACGAUAUCGAGCUUGUUUCAAGGUCGUGCGCUCUGAUCAACCAGGUACUCCAUUCUUUAACUAGUAGAUAUCACAAUUUUGUUUUAAUGAUCUGAAGAUAUCACAAUUCUCUCAUAGUCUACUAUAUCCACAACAACUUGAAAUUAAUCUUGGGUCGAAAAGAUAGAGCCGUUGUGUAGUAUAGGAGACGUAGAUUUCUUUUGUUUUGGUUGAUGUUUGAGUUUGGGAUCACAUUUUGCAUAGUGAAAUCGAACUGAUUCAUCUAUAACUGAUUUAAUGCGCUCUGGUCAACCAAUAUUUUAUUGGUUAAAAUGUGUUUCUCAUAGUCUUGUACAAUAUCAACUAGGAAUAUUCUGAGCUAACUUGGCCGAGUUUGCAUAUUGUUGUAUGAAGGAAAGCAUAAGCGAUUGUGUUUAAAAAUGAUUCUUUGUUGACAAUUUAACUUUGUUGUCAUAUAUUUCAUAGUUGAACUGACUUGAUUCUUUAUGUUUUACUGUCUUAUGUAACUGCUAUGGUUUGCAUUAUUGUGCAGAAAUGUCACGUGAAGAAGAAGGAUAUCAGGAAGUUCCUUGACGGUAUCUAUGUUAGCGAGAAAAGCAAGAUCGUAGAGGAAGAAUGAAUACUCAUAUUCCCCUCUUAGCUCAUAUUUCUUGUGUUUGGAAUGUUGUUAGUUUUGUUUUAUGGACCAAAUCCACCGGUGAUGUAAACCUUGCCUUUUUUUUGUUCGAGAAUUUAUUAACUUAUGCAACAAGUUUUGGAGACAAUUAGAGACCCAUUCACUCUCACACUUUUGCCAAAUUACAUCUUCUCGGAUGAAUUUUGAAUUCUGAAGAAUUUGGUUGUGUUUUUGAAUUCCAGAACAUUAUAAUCCAUUGUCCUGAAUGAAAACGCCCACAAAUUUAGAGGGUGUUAUCGGUUCCUAAUUUACAAGAAAUUUUGAUGACUUUAGUUAAAUCUUUGAAAGUAAAGAAAUGAAAGAUUAUAAACGAUUGUUAGAGAGUUUUUUGAUAAUCUUGUUGAUUAGUUUUUUAUAAUUUUGUAAAGUUUUCCAAACAAUCUCUCUAUUUUAAUAAUAUUUUCCAUGACUUUCCAUGACUUCAUUUUGUAAAGAAAAGUGUAGGAAAUCAUGAACCAAUAACACAAUAAUUUAAAUCAUUAACAAUCAUUAAAAAUCAAAGAUUCUUUUGUUUUAAUUGAAUAACACAAAACUUUUAAUGAUUUAAUAAAAGUUCGUAUCUAAUAACCCAAAAUUUAUGAAGAUUUUAGAUUACUUUUUACAAAUCUUAAACGAAUAACACAAAACUUUAACAUACUUUAAAAAAGUCUUGAUUGAAUAACAACAGAUUUUACAUGACAAUUUAAAUCAUUAAAACUCUUUUGAAAUCAUAAACGAAUAACACCCUAUUAAUAUUUAGUCAAAUUAAUACUCAUACUUUUUCUAACUUAAAUUUAAUACUCAAAUACUUUUUCAAAUACUCAAAUUUAAUAUUUAACAAAACUUUUUCAUUUGUUACUCAAAUAAACUUUUAUAAUUCUAGCUGGGAAAAUUUCCAAAAAUAAACUUCAACUAUUUAAUAUUUGCCAGAAUUCUUUUUUUUUCUUUUCUCGUUGCCUAAAAUAAUCUAAUCUAGUUUACGGCCCAUAAAACAAAGGGUUAUUGAGUUUAUAGUCAUAAACUAAUUGCAUUCUCAGAUUUUCCUCAAUGGAUUAUAAAAUCAGCCAUAAACCCUAUAAAAUCAGUCAAUUUUUUUUUUCAUCCUAAAACAAACACAAACUAUUCUUUAUUUUCUAAUUUCUCUUCGUCUUCGUUAUGGCCGUUAACGACAUCGUUGACGUCGUUACUAUUUUUGAGAAAAUUUCUAACCCAAAUUAUGAAAUUUUGCUUGAAAAAAAUACCUGAAUUUCUAUUUCCUUGCCAUAAAAUAACACAUAUCAACAUUUUUUUUUCUCUUCUUUUAUUCCAUUAACAAUGUAAGAUGGUCAAAUGUCAUAACUUUAUGUGCUCUCUUGAACCUCAUACAAGUUCUCAUUACUAUUUAGGACAAUUAAAUUCAACAACAAAAAUACACAAUUAGAUUAGUCUAUUUCUAUUUUUUUCAAUACCCAAACUAAACCCAUAUCGAAAAAACCCGAUUUGGGCGAGUAAGAGUUUCAGGAAUGUACCUCAUUGGAUAGAGUUCGGGUCGGUCCGGAUCAGAGAUUGCCCAUUACACACACCGGAUAUCCAUAAACCCGAUAUAAGGUAUGUGUAUAUAUACGGUAUAGAUAUAGUUUUAUACAUUUAUAGACUAGUUUACCUUUUGCAUGCUUGAUUGAAUUACCCAUGCAUCAGUUUCCAACAAGGCUACAAUCCUACUUCUCGUUGUAGUUCUAUACUUUUUAUUUUCAGAUAGUCGGAUUUAUGUUUUCAAAUUCAUUAUCGGAUUACUCACUCUUAAUUCUAAGUAUUACACUUUGUGAUUUUGGAUUGGAUUUGGAUGUCAAGUUUGAAGUGUUUUAUUCUCUUUAUUACUCACAUUUUGGGUUUACGGUUAAUUUUUAUCCAUUCAGACCCGAACCCGAAAGAAUUCAAAAUUUUCAAGUAUUUACCGGUUCUCAGACUUAGUACCCAAUCUAACCCGAAUCCGGGUGUACCUAAUCCGAACCGGAACUGAAUAUAUGCAAUUACCCUAAGAGUAGUAAAUCCAUUACCCAUUUAACCGGAACGGGUUAUCUAUAUGCCCAUUCCUAGAUUUGAUCUUAGAUCUAUACAAGCUUUACAAAUUUUGAGAUUUCAUCGACACUGGAAUUCUAAAUUUCAUGAGAGCUUAAAAAAACUUUGUAGAUCUUCGUAGAUUCUCUAUAUAAAACGAAAAAAUUAAUUCAAUCAAGCAAAACUCACCAAAAUUGAAGCUUUAAAACCGCAACAUGAGAAUAAAGCAAAGAGAACAAAACAAAGCUGAUAUUCGAACGGGACAUAAAUAUCUGAUAUAUUUGUAAAUGUUUUGAGUUUUGUAUCCAAUUAUACCCAAAAUCUAGCAAAAGAUCUGAAAUUUAACCAUAAUCCACCAAAAAAACAUACCAGUAUUUCAGGUAUUCAGGUACUUGUUCAGGUAUGAGAUACAAUCAAGUAUGAAAUACACGAACUGAUUAGUACCCAUUUUUAGGGUAUUUAUAACUUCUAAAAGUCUAAACCUGAUUCGUCCUAAACUUGAAUGACCGAAUCAAACUGAACCAAUUUUGUAUAUUUACUCAAUUAAGUCCUAAAAUCCUCUAUCUGAUUUGAACGCGAUCGACUAGAGUACAUGAAUACAGAAUAUCCAAUCAUAUCCACCAUAAAGGAUACUAAACUCUCCGAUUUGAAUUACCCGAAUCCAAAAAAGCCGAAUAACGUGCAUUUUGUUUGUAUUUGAUUAUAUUAAUUUGCAUAUCUAUGGGCUGUUAAUGCCAAUAAUAUAUUUUGGGUGUUCUUGGGCUUGAACUUUAUUGGGCUAGGAAUGGUUGUAUAUUUAACCCUACUUCUGAUUAGUCUCUUAGUAAAGAAACUAGGGUUUUCGUCGCCGUCAUUUUUCUUGACCUAAAGAGCGAUCAAUUGAGAAGGAGAGAGAGAACAAAACUUCCGUCAUUCCAGCCUUAUAUUUUAACGGGACAUGGGCAUAUUGCAAAUAAUGUAUUUUCUCAUUUUUGGUUACUAGGCUGCGUUUUGAAAAACCCACCUGAACGAUGUUUAGGGUUUCUGUUUUUCGUUAUACUUUUUAUAAGGGCGCCGAUAAAUCGUUUUCUAGGGUUUAUUUGAUUAAAAAGAGAGCCGCCGUAAAACAUUAACGUUGUUUAGGGUUUGUAUUUCAUAUAUUUUUAAAAUGCCGUCGACAAAACCUUUUCCUAGGGUUUCUGUCUUUGAUCAAACCAAAAACAACAAAUUUGAUAAAGAUAGCAAAUCAGGAAUCAGAGAAAUUGGUGUAUGCCGGUGACCAAAGUAUUCUCAACAUACUAGAAUGAUUCAUAAAAAUACGAGGAUUUUUUUUCUUUCUUUCGGGUAUUUCUUUCAUUCCAUACAAUUCAAAGUCAAAGAUGAACACCUAAUUGUGCGUUGAAAAAAAAAGACAUAAUGUGCACAUUUUGAUCUAUAUAUAAUUAAUUAUGUAAAUUUUAUACCUCAUGUUUAUUUUUAAUCAGUUUAUUUAUAUAGACAAAAAAAUGAUUCACAAAUCACAAUGAUGGAUCUUGUUGUUAAAUUAUUUAACUACAAAUUAUAUUAAAGUAAAUUAGGAUAGUCCGAUGUGCGAGUUUUAAAGUUUUAUAAUUAAAUUCUUAAAAUAUACCGAUAAUCUUUUAGUUAGAGAAGAUAAAUAUUUAUAUAUUCUUUAUAACAAAAAAAUAUAUUUUUAUAUUUGUUUUGCUUUAACUUAUUUGCAGCUCUAUAUUUUAAUUUUAUUGUAAGAUUAUAUUACAAUAAACACUACAAGAAAACUGUCAUUUUGCGAGGGAAGAAUUACUCGCUAAUCCCUCGCAAACAGCCAUACGCGAGGGACUUGCGAGGAAAUCAAGUUCCUCGCAAAUGGUAAAAAGUUGCAAUUCCCUCGCAAUUUUUGCGAGGAACUGUUUUCCUCGCAAAACACACGCAACACAGUUCUAGUAUUUCCCUCGCAACUGUUGCGAGGGAUUUGCGAUUCUUUUCUUUCUGCCUAGCAAAUCCAUCACAAACAACUGAUUUCCUGAUAUAUUAAGGCUUGAUUAGUGGUUAAUUAGACUCUAAUUAUCUGGUUAAUUAGUUGUUGAUUAGAGAUUAUUUUUGAUUCUUAAAUAAAGACACAAGAAGAAGAAGAAGCUGAAAUUAUCAUUAUCUAAAAUGUAUUCUACAAUGCCAAUAUUUGAAACCAUGUUCUAAAAAGAUUACAAGGAAAAAAGAGAAAGACAAUGUUCUCAAAAUACUGAUGAUGGAGAGGAUCCUGUUGCAAGGUUAGCUAGGGCAGCAGCAGCAGGUGUCUCCUCAUUGGCUUGCUGUUCUGGAGUUGUAGCUACAGGUGGUUCAUUUGCGCUAACCGGUCUUGUCUGUGUCGAGGAACCUCAUCGAAGAAUGGCAGCUAAAGCUGGAUCUUUCUCAGCAAGAUAGUCAAAGAGGAUAUCAAAGUUGUUGAUCUUCUCAGCCUGAUUUUGAAUGCAAGCUUCAGCGGCAGCCAGCUUCGCAGAAAGUAUAACCGGAUCAUCACUAGGAAGUGUUGGACCACUAUGAACUGAGGAUGCUUCAAACUGCAGAGAUCCAACACCAUAAAUCCUUCCUUUCUUUCUCGGAGCAACCUGCAAAGGUCACAAAAACUCACAAGGACACAACAGAAAACAAGUGAGAAAACAAGUUCAACACAAGACAAAAGAAUUCAAACACAAUAAGCUGUCAAGAUUUCAGACAACACAAUAAGUUGUCAAUAAGAUUUCAGACAACACAAUAAGAUUUCAGACAACACAAUAAGUUGUCAAUAAGAUUUCAGACACAACUAGACAACGCUAACAGUGAUUAUCAAGUAGACAACACAACCACACUUGCAAUAGAAAGCAAUUCAAACACAACACUACACAAAGUAUAAUGAAUAAGCUGUCAAGAUUUCAGACAACACAAUAAGCUGUCAAUAAGAUUUCAGACAACACAAUCAGAUUUCAGACAACACAAUCAGAUUUCAGACACAACUAGACAACGCUAACAGUGAUUAUCAAGUAGACAACGCUAACAGUGAUUAUGAAGUAGACAACAGAAAGAGCACAUAAAAUUUACCUCAGUAAAUAUCUUGUUUUUGGCAUGAACAGAAAGUCCACCUGAUCCAGUGCUCUCCGGAUUGUCCCCUGAACCCAUAUGAGACUCUUCCUCUUCAAUCCUAGAUGUUACUUGCUUGUAGAUCUCCUCUGACUUCCCAUCGAUGAAGCUUCCAUCCGCUUUUCUGUGUGUCUCAUCUAGCAGCUCAAGGAAAUCAGGAGUUUUUUCUCCAGUCUUCUCACACUGAAACACAAAGAGAUAAACAAGAUGUCAGUAUGUAAUUCUAGAUUAAGUAAUGGUAAGGAGAGAAGAAUACUUAUCUUACUCGUUUUCUUGCACGGGCUUUGUAUGAGGUCUGGCCUGAACGGUGUUUAUAGAUGCCUUUGCCAUCCGGAUCAUGAUACCUAGCAUUUCUGCUGUUGUUACUCUUUUUUUUCUGACUUUGGAUCUUGCCAAAACAGUACAAGACCUUUCCACACAUCAGGAUCAAUCCAUUUUGGCUUAGCUUCAUCACCUUUCUCCUUCCAAUUUCCCUUCCACCGUGACACUUGAUCAGUCAUCCUAGACUUUAGCUUUGCUUCAAACUCAACCCUUACUCUUUUGUUAAUUGAACGGUCCCAGUUAUAUACUUGCUACAAAAGAGAAGCUAACAUCAGAAAUGAAACCAUACACAAAACAAGCAUAAACAUCAAAAGAGCACAGAACUUACCGCAAACGUUUCAUACCAUCGAUCGAUUGUAGCCUUUGAUGUUUGUGACCAAUUGGCAUGAGGUUCUUUGAAAUCUCUUUCAAAGAUGAUGCGGACUGUUGCUGCAACUGCAGGGUCAUCGUCAAACCUACAAGAAGACCAACCAGCCCACACAUAAGGAUUUCUAUGUCUUUAAACUUCUAAGACAUCACAAUGCUAAGUACAACCAAGCUGUUCUAUUUGUUGAAACUUCUAAGGCACUACAACCUAAGGCACUACAACCUAAUUCCAUUACGCUCCAAGGCACUACAAAGUUCUAAGGCACUACAACCUAAGCUGUUCUAGGACAAUGAAUUUAACCUUACCAGAGAGUUCCCGGAGGACGCUUUGGGUCUAGCCUUGUCAAGCCAGCACGACCAGGACUAUCAAGAAGCUCCUCCAGUGUGAGAUUGUUGAGACGCUCAGCUUGAGAAUCACAAUCAUUGACAGAAGGCUGAGUGGUUGGCGUUGGAGGCGAUGGUGGAUGGCGUGAACCUUGAACCCCUGAAAUAUUCCCAGCACUGACAGGAGAAUUGACAUGCAACGAGUCUCCCUGCUGUGACCUAUAUCGUGCAUAAGUAUUCUCCGACGACGACAUCUUGCAAAACAAACAAAACCCAGAAGCGAUGAAGAAGAAGUUAGAUCGGAGAGAAGCAGAAGCAGAAGCAGAAGCAGAACAAAUGAUUGACAGAGUUUAGAUCCGUAAACUAGAACAGAUUAGAUCUGGAAAACAAUGUCAGAUCGGAGAUGAAGAAGAAGUUAGAUCGGAGUGAAGCAGUUAGAUCGGAGAAGAAGACGUUACCUUGGAGGCAAAAGAGAUCGAGUCGCGACUUGUGCUGGAGAAGAAGAGUCGCGACGGCUGCUGGAGAAGAAGAGUCGCAACGGCUGCUGGAGAAGAAGAGUCGCGACGACUGCAGGAGAAGACGAGACGCGACGGAGAAGAAGAAGAAGUUAGAUCGGACGGUGGAAGUUGGAAUGGAAAGAAGAAGUUAUAUCGGAGAAGAAGAGGUUACCUUGGAGAAGAAACAGAUCGACUCGCAGCUGAACCUGGAGAAGAAGAGUUGCGGCGGCUGCUGGAGAAUAAGAGGCGGCGACGUAAUCAGAUCGAAGAAGAAGAGAGGCGACGGCGAAGAAAAUAGAUCGGAGAAGAAGAGAAGCCGGCGACGAGGAAAACAGAUCGGAGAAGAAGAGAAUCGAAGAAAAAAAAUUAGGUUUAGUAUAUAUAAGCAUAUAUAUCCUCGCAAAUCCCUCGCAAACCUUGCUAGGAAAUUGCGAGGAACCGUCUUUUAAACCAAUCAAAAUGCAGCUUACAUUGCGAGGGAACUGCGAGAGCGCCUAGCAAAUCCCUCGCAGACCUUGCUAGGAAAUUGCGAGGAAUCGUAUUUUAAACCAAUCAAAAUUCAAUAAUUAUAUUUGAUUCAGUCUCUCCUAUUUCUAGUAAGACCCUCAGCAAAAUAAGAACAUGACUAAAAAUUCUAAAUAUUUUAGGGUUUAGUGUAAAUAUUGCGAGGGAACUGCUACGCGUACUAGCAAACACCUCGCAAUUUCCUCGCAAUGUAUAAUCAAUUUUGAAAAAUACAACAAUCACUAUUCAAAAUCAUUUGGAUUCAUUUUUUUUAAUCAUUAGAACGUUAAUUAUCUACAUUUGAACCUAUUUUAUCAUCAUAUAAUUCGAAUGUGUUUUUUCCCCAAAUACAUCAAUGAUGAUCUUAUGGUUUUCAUUAAGUAUGAAUCAUGAAUGUUUAACAUUUUCAAAAUGAAAUGUUGAUAUUGAAACCAAUACAAUAUUUUUUUGUUCAAACCAUAUAAUCAACUUGAAUGAUUAUAUGGUCACUUAGAUUCAUAUCUAUAAAUGAGAAUCGAAGAUUGCAAUACACUUUUAUGUAUUUUAGGGUUUAGGGUAAAGAUUUGCGACGUAUCUGCUUGGGAUUUGCGACGGAUAAUAUCUUUCUUGCGAAACCAUCGUACUUCCAUCGCAAAUUUGCGAGGAAGUCUUCCCUCGCAAGUUUUGCGACGGAAUUGCUACUCGCGUGCGGUACGUAGCAAGUUUCUCGCAAUAUCCUCGCAAUAAUUGCGAGGAAUGCCUUCCCUCGCAAACCUUCCUCGCAAAUUGACUGUUUUCUUGUAGUGAAACUAGUACAUUUAAAUUACUAAUCUUUAAAACUUUUUGCCAUAUAUAUUCAUCAUUAAUUUAUUGCCUAAUCUCAAAAAAUAGUUUCGCAGUCUCGCCUAAAAUAUGAAUCAACCACUUCUUGAGAAAAUGUUUUACCUGUAGACCACCAGUCAGGUUAUUUUAAUCUAUUUACAAAUCUACUAUCUACGUUACAACUAAAAAACGUAUCUAUGAGUACAUUAAGCCUAUCAGUUUCAAUCCAAUCAUAUUUUACUACUGAAAUAUGUUCUAUGAACACCUACAAAAUGUAUAUAUGAACACAUUAAGCCAAUUAUAUUCUUAUUUUGUUUAUGUCCAACUAUAUGUCUCUUCAUUUACACUUUUGCAUAGUUUCUUCAACCACUAAAUGUUUUGACUCAACAAAUAUUUUGAACAAAAAAAUAUAUCAUAUAGCAAUAAUUGAUGAUGUAUUUACAAGAAAACUAAAUUAAGUAAAAAAACUACUUGAUUAGAAUGCGUUUAUGACCAACCAAUAAACUAAAGGUUGAGAAAUUAAAAGAAAUUAAUUUGACGUAACUAAAAAAAUAAUAUAAAUGAGUCUUAGAUAAUUCAAAGAUAGAAAUAUAAAUGAAAGUAACAAUCUAAAAUACGACCACUAAAUUAAAAGUAAAUAGACAAAGAAAAAUCAUAUAUCGAUCUUACCAUAUACAAAUUACAAAUUUGUUUCAAAUCAACACAUAUUUCUAAUUAAAAAAAAACAAAUUGAAAUAUAUAAUGUAAAAUUUUACAUUAAAUCAUGACACAUGUAGUAGUCUAAUUUUUUUAGUACAAUGAUAUAUGAUAAUUAAGUUUUAUAUAAUUCAAAUACAAAAAAUCAAUACAAAUAAUCUUGAAAACAAAAAUUAAAUUAUAAAUUUUAGGAAGACGAUGAUUUAUAAAUCUUUAAUAAUUCAAUGCAUGCCACGAUAAUGUGAUAACUUUGUAGCUGUGUAUAAGCACACCUAGAGAUGGAGAUAACACCUAGAGAUGGAGAUAGAGAGAGAGAAAGCUUCAGGAGGAGAUGAAGAAGAUGAGAGGAGGUGCAGAUUUGGGGAUGUUUUUUUCUUUUUUUUUCGGUCCAAUUUUUUUUUUUCUGGAUGGAUUGAUCAACUUUACAAAAUCUCUGGCAAAUAUUUGGUAGAUUUUUAUUUUAUUUUCAUUGCUUUAACUUAUGAAUAAAUCUAUAUUUUGAAAAAUAAAAAGCUUGUGUACUUCUCGAAUGUUUAUGGUCUUAAUAUUGCUGCUUGCUUCGUUUUGGUCGCAUGAUUUUAAAUUUACUAGGUUAUAAAUCCACGCGUAAUUUUUUUAUCAAAAUUGAUUCUUAACUCUAUUGAUUUUUAUAAUUUUUAAUAUGGUAUAUUUAAAAUAAAAUGUUUACUUUAUUAGAAAUUUUAAUACUAUAAUCAAUAAUAUAUACUUUUCACCAAAUUAUAUUACGCGUGGGUUCAAAACCAAGUGUUAAUUACUUUGAAAAGCAAAUUUUAUAUAAUAAAAUUUUAAAGUAUGAUAUACUCAUAACUUGAUUUUUUUUUUUUUGCCGGCUACUCAUAACUUGAUUUGGUGCUAUUUAUGACAAUUUCUCUAAUUUAUUCGACUUUUGUUAUUUUGUUCUUUAAAGCAAUGAUAAAUUAUUAUUUGGUCUGGCCCGGAACGGACUGCUUUCAAAUGGACCGGGCCGCCAGCCCACAUACUAACUCAUUUAGAUAUAAGUUUCUUCUAACCUCUCUUUCUCUAAAAAGCUGUCGGCGAGUGGGAGAAGCGCAGAGAGAGCAAACAAAGAGCAAACUUGAAUUAUUUCUCCGUUGGCUUUGUUUGAAAAUAUAUAAAAAAAACAAUUAACGGGCCAUGAGCUUGUUGCAAAUAAUCUAUUUAUUUUUCAUUUUAGGAUUUUUGUUUCUCGACACGAGUUGAGCUGAUUUUGAUAAGCCCACAUGACAUUGUUUUAGAGUUUCUGUUUUUCUUCUUUAUACUUUUUAAAAUGCGGCCAGUGAAUAAUUUUCUAAGGUUUAUGCUUUAAUACAAGUUAAAUAAUUUUUUUGUAAAUAAUUUUUUGUUGGAAUGUCAAAUUUAUUCAACAAAAGAAAAUGAUUACAAAGAGUUUUGAAAGGUAAAAAAUGGAGAAAAUAAACGUGAAAAGUAGAAACAAAAAUGAUGAAAUUGGCGCCACUUACAUCAUUAUAGAAAGUUCAAAAGGCCUAAUUCUGACACAAUAUUAUUAACGGGUCAUGGGCUUAAUGACAAUAAUAAACUUUUCUCACUUUUGAGUUUUAAUAAGCCCACAUUUGCUUUAGGGUUUCUGCGUCUCUAUCUUUAAAUUGCUUCCGACGAUUCAUAAACUAGGGUUUCUGCCUUUAGCCGUCGUGAGAGAGAGAGCAAAUCGAAGAGAGAGCAAAGAGAAAAUAAUAUGUUGUUUGCGUUUGGUACGGUGACUCGAUCUGUGGCUAAUUCAGUGGUGGUUUGCUACGGCUUUCUUUCGACAAUGGUGUUUUCUUUCGACCUAAACUUGAUAGACCGAACCAAACUGAACCAAUUUUUAUAUAUAUUUACUCAAUUAAAUCCUAAACUCCUCUAUUUGAUCUGAACCCGAUCAACCCGAAUACAUAAAUAUCUAAUCUUAUCCAUCUGAAAGGAUACUAAACUCUCUAAUUCGAAUUACCCGAAUCCAGAAAAAGCCGAAUAGCAUGCAUUCUAUUGGUACUUGAUUAUAUUAAUUGGCAUAUAUAUGACCUGUUAUUGCCAAUAAUAUAUUUUGGGUGUUUCCUGGGCUUCAGUUUUAUUGGGCUAGGAAUGGGUGUACUUUUAAACCCACUUCUGAUUAGUCUCUUAGUAAAACCCACUUUUAAACCCACUUCUGACCCACUUCUGACGCCGUCAUUUUUCUUGAGAAGGAGAGAGAGCACCACUUCCGUCAUUCCAGCCCAAUAUUUUUAACGGGCCAUGGGCUUAUUGUAAAUAAUGUAUUUUUCUCAUUUUUGGUUUUCUUUAUGGGCACGAUUUUAGUGGGCUGAAUUUUGAUAAAGGCCCACAUAUGAAAGAUAUUUAGGGUUUUUUCUCUUGAUACCUUUUAAAACGCCGUCGAGAAAUCUCCCUCUAGGGUUUCUUUGAUCAAACCAGAGAGCCGUCAGGGAGAGCAAAACAAAGAUCGGAGAAGAUGAAGACGAUUCUUUCUUCCGAAACGAUGGACAUCCCCGACAGUGUUACCAUCAAGGUUCACGCUAAAGUGAUCGAAGUCGAAGGACCUCGCGGGAAGCUUGUUCGCGAUUUCAAGCAUCUCAACCUCGAUUUCCAGCUGAUCAAGGAUCCAGAGACUGGAAAGAAGAAGCUUAAGAUCGAUUCGUGGUUUGGAACACGCAAAACCA